UUGAACGCUGGCGGCAUGCCUUACACAUGCAAGUCGAACGGCAGAACGGGAGCAAUCCUGGUGGCGAGUGGCGAACGGGUGAGUAAUAUAUCGGAACGUGCCCGGUCGUGGGGGAUAACGUAGCGAAAGCUACGCUAAUACCGCAUACGAUCUACGGAUGAAAGCGGGGGAUCGCAAGACCUCGCGCGAUUGGAGCGGCCGAUAUCAGAUUAGGUAGUUGGUGAGGUAAAGGCUCACCAAGCCGACGAUCUGUAGCUGGUCUGAGAGGACGACCAGCCACACUGGGACUGAGACACGGCCCAGACUCCUACGGGAGGCAGCAGUGGGGAAUUUUGGACAAUGGGCGCAAGCCUGAUCCAGCAAUGCCGCGUGCAGGAUGAAGGCCUUCGGGUUGUAAACUGCUUUUGUACGGAACGAAACGGUGAGCUCUAAUACAGUUUGCUAAUGACGGUACCGUAAGAAUAAGCACCGGCUAACUACGUG
rnacentral:rRNA from 1 species